rnacentral:lncRNA from 1 species
AUGCAGUUUUCUGAGGUGAACAGAGCAGUGGUAACUAUUGAACAGUUGCAUUUACAGCCUGUUGCAAUACAUUCCGAGGGAACACUCCUGCAGGGAAUGCGGUGCCCCCACCCCCACCCCACCCCACCCCAACCCCAGCACUUUGCUAACAGUUGCAUUUACAGCUGCAGUGCAUCCGGAGGGAGGGCUCCCUGCAGGGGAUGCGGUGCCCCCAGCACCUUCAUGCAGCUCAUCCUGGUGCUCUUUGUUUCACCUGAAUCCUUUUUCAGUGGAAACUGUUUGUUACUGAUCUUCCUUUCAUAGAACCUCAAUUUUUUUUCCUAAACUUGAGUUUAAAGGUCCUUGUUCUGUUGAUAGGUACAGUAACAUGCUUACAGCUAGCCCUUUCCUUAGUAUCAGCACUUUAAACAAAUUCCAAAUUUUAAACUUGCUUCCUAGUAAGUGCACGUAAGUCAGAUUAUUUUUAAUGGAAUAUGGAUGCAUUGGUGUCAAUUUAAAAAAAAACAAAACAAAACAACGU